CUCCUUGUGGUGUAGUUGGCUAUCACGUUCGACUGUAAUCGUUUAAAAAUCAUAAUCGAAAGGUCACCGGCUCGAUUCCGGUCGAGGAGA